rnacentral:rRNA from 1 species
CUACGGGUUGCUGCCGCAGGGAAUAUUGCACAAUGGACGGAAGUCUGAUGCAGCGACGCCGCGUGGAUGAUGAAGGCCCUCGGGUUGUAAAAUCCUUUUCAGGGGGACGAGGAAGGACGGUACCCUUGGAAUAAGCGUCGGCUAACUACGUGCCAGCAGCCGCGGUAAGACGUAGGACGCAAGCGUUAUCCGGAUUUACUGGCGUAAAGCGUCUGUAGGCGGAAUGGUAAGUUGGACGUGAAAGCUCCGGGCUCAACCCGGAGAGGUCGUUCAAUACUGCCAAACUAGAGGGCAUCAGAGGAGCGUGGAAGUUCCGGUGUAGCGGUAAAAUGCGCAGAUAUCGGAAGGAACACCAAUGGCGAAGGCAGCGCUCUGGGAUGAACCUGACGCUAAGAGACGAAAGCUAGGGGAGCGAACAGGAUUAGAUACCCCGGUAGUC